UCUCACAAGGUUGGGGGCCACCACUAAGUCUGCCUUCAACAUAUCUAUAUUACUUCUAUCUUUUUAAUCUGCUGACCUCAAAAUGCAGAUAAACCAUUAAAAUUUACCAUCAGCAUUAUGAAUUUAGUUGCAUAUAUAUCCACAGUUCAAAUUACAAUAAGACCGAUUUAAUGAGAAGGCCCUUGAGAGGGUCCAAGGCCUGCUUCAGGUGUGAGCAUUCACAUGAUAUUCACUCAUGCACCUUACAAAUCAUCAUAUUACACAGUUUUUUGUUUAUAGAAGGAUGUGUUGCAUACAGCAACUGCCCUCUUUGCUUUAAACCAAUCAGAAAGAUACUUAAGUUUUUCUAGUAUAUCUGUGGGCUGUUGUUGUGUACCUACAGCAUGGCAUACAACUUUCUUCACUUAAGGAUCAUUCUCAUUUAUGACCUUGUACUGGGAAUGGCUAUCCAUUUUGCUAUGUUGCCAAAGGAAUUGUGGGCCGUUCCACCAGAUCUUGCUAUUACACAAUUCAUCCGCUGUCAUGCCUCUAGAUGCAUGAUCUGCUGGGGUAUAUAUAUACUGUGUCUCUACAAAUUUCCACUGAUCUGGUGAAGUGUGAUCUCUUAUUGUUUCUACUCUAUUUGCAGCAACAUAUACAUGGAAUCUCUUUGCUUCAUUUGCAAUGUAACCAAGGACUACUUUGCUGUCUGUCCAAAAUACUUCUUCCACAUUAUUAUACUCAAGUUCUCCCUUCAAGAGUUUAUGGAUUCUAACUGACACCACUGCUGCUGCUGCUGCUGCUAGUUCUAGUCUGGGAAUUGUUAUGGUUUUUAGAGUCAGUAUGAGAGGUGACACCAGACCUAAUGGAUCAUAUAUAGAGGUCACUGUUGACAGAAUGCCUCUCCUGGUGAGUGGCUGGUCUUUCACCUUUAUUCUAAAUUGAAAUGUGUCAGAUUCUAUGCACCACUCAACUCCCAAAGUUCUUUCUAUAGGCAGUGUGUCUUCAUUCUUACUAAAAUCCAAACUUUUAAUUCCAUCUGCUCUCUCAUGAGGAGAAAUUGCAGCUAAUACAGCUUUGUUGUUGUUUGACAAGAACUUAUGAAGGUUGAAACCUCCCUUGUAACAUAAUUCUUUGCUCUGCUGAAUAAGAGUGACAGCUUCAUCCAUUGUAGCUACUGACUUCAAACCAUCAUCAACAUAAAAGUUGUUUGUUACAAACUUGGCCGCAUCAGCAUAAAAGGGCCAGAUUCUCAGGAAACCCUUUGUAUUAUUUGUAUGUGCAAUAUUUUUCUAUCCUCUGUGUCUAUUGUUUUAUGUCCAAAGGAUGGGUGGCAGGUUGCAUCAUCCUACUUUGUUGUGCAGGCUUUAGUCCAACAAUAUAUGUAUCAAUCAAUCAAUCAUCUUGGUAAUAAAAAGAAUAAUAACAAUAAUUUUUAACUUUAUUUUCUCGGUUCUAUUUCCUUUCUUUAAUAAUAAUGAUGAAAAAAAAUAAUAAUUAUAUAAUUUAAUAUAACCUAACAUAGCCUAUCUUAGCUCAUAACAGAAAUAGGUAGCUCAGUUAAGUUAGGCCAGACUAAACUGCCUUACUUUAGGUCACUCAUGUAAGAGAAUUAUUGAUCUUAUUGUGCUAAAUCCUAAGGACUCCUGCUAUCUGAUGUCAUUCUACUUCUGUUCUCUUUCAAAUUUCUCCUCAUCUCCCUCCACUCCUUUGCACCGCUGUAAAGGGUCUUGGCGCACUCCCUUACCUCCUCCUCCUCCUCCUCUGACGAACAGUUCCAGUGGUACUUGAAGAGGCCGCUCAGUUUAACAAGCUCAUUCUGGCUCACCU